UGUUGAAACACUAGUUCCUGUAUAAUCACCAAAGUUAAGCAAUGUCAAGCAUAGUCAGUACUUAGAUGGGUGACUGCUUGGGAAUACCAGGUGCUGUAAG